rnacentral:rRNA from 1 species
UUGCAUAUGCUUGUCUUAAAGAUUAAGCCAUGCAUGUCUAAGUAUAAGUAGUAUACAGCGAAACUGCGAAUGGCUCAUUAAAACAGUUAUAGUUUAUUCGAUAGUGAAAUUACAUGGAUAACCGUGGUAAUUCUAGGGCUAAUACAUGCACAAAGACCCGACUCUGAAGGGUUGUAUUUAUUAGAUCUAACCAUCAUUUGGUGAAUCAUAGUAACUGAUCGGACCUUGCUAUGCAAGGCAAAUCGUUCAAGUUUCUGCCCUAUCAGCUUUCGAUGGUAGUGUAUUGGACUACCAUGGCAGUCACGGGUAACGGGGAAUUAGGGUUCGAUUCCGGAGAGGGAGCCUGAGAAACGGCUACCACAUCUAAGGAAGGCAGCAGGCGCGUAAAUUACCCAAUCCCGAUUCGGGGAGGUAGUGACAAGAAAUAACAACUCGAGGGAGAAAUCCCUACGGGAUUGCAAUGAGAGUAAAUCUAAAUCACUUAUCGAGUAACGAUUGGAGGGCAAGUCUGGUGCCCGCAGCCGCGGUAAUUCCAGCUCCAAUAGCGUGCGCAAAAGUUGUUGCAGUUAAAAAGCUCGUAGUUGAACUUCUGGUCAUGCGCUGGAUUGGCAUCUGUCGUCUUGUCGUGUGAUCAUCCGUCUACAAACCUGUAUCAUUCUUAACCGUUUGUGCAGGAAAGUAGACAAUUUACCUUGAAAAAAUUAGAGUGUUUCAGGCAGGUCAUCGCCGGAAUACAUUAGCAUGGAAUAAUGGAAUAGGACUUGUAUCCUUUGUUGGUUCAAGGACACGAGUAAUGAUUAAAAGGAACAGUUGGGGGCAUUAGUAUUUAAUUGUCAGAGGUGAAAUUCUUGGAUUUAUUAAAGACUAACUUAUGCGAAAGCAUUUGCCAAGGAUGUUUCAUAAUC